GAUCGCAUGGUCUUCUGGGAAGCUUUCGCGGUAUGGGAUGGGGUCGCGUCCUAUCAGCUUGACGGCGGGGUAACGGCCCACCGUGGCUUCGACGGGUAGCCGGCCUGAGAGGGCGACCGGCCACAUUGGGACUGAGAUACGGCCCAGACUCCUACGGGAGGCAGCAGUGGGGAAUAUUGCACAAUGGGCGCAAGCCUGAUGCAGCGACGCCGCGUGAGGGAUGGAGGCCUUCGGGUUGUAAACCUCUUUUAUCGGGGAGCAAGCGAGAGUGAGUUUACCCGUUGAAUAAGCACCGGCUAACUACGUGCCAGCAGCCGCGGUAAUACGUAGGGUGCAAGCGUUAUCCGGAAUUAUUGGGCGUAAAGGGCUCGUAGGCGGUUCGUCGCGUCCGGUGUGAAAGUCCAUCGCUUAACGGUGGAUCCGCGCCGGGUACGGGCGGGCUUGAGUGCGGUAGGGGAGACUGGAAUUCCCGGUGUAACGGUGGAAUGUGUAGAUAUCGG
rnacentral:rRNA from 1 species